UCCGAGCCGCGGCGGAAUUCGCCUGGAGAGGCACCGGCCGCCGCUCGCGACGUCGCGGCCCCGAGGUGCCGUCAAGGAUCCUGACCUGCAGUCUUAGGGAGGAGCACAAGGCUGCCGAGAGGAGAGCGGAAGGACAGCAGGGUGCCAUGGCUAGAGGAGGUAGAGCUCGACCUGGGGAGCAGACGACUGGACCGAUGGAGGGGUUCGGCCUCCAGCGUCAUCGCAGCUGCGUGCCCUCCUCCACUGCCGCCUCCUUCCGGCCGGCCGGCAAUUUUCCACGUCUACAAGGCAGUCACGCAUCCUAGGUUUCCCUCUUUGUGUGAAAACUGAAUCACUGAAUUCUCUAGUGAGCUUUGGGUGUCACAUUUUUGCUGCUGAUAGGUAUGAGAACCAGGAUGCAAAUGCUACAUCGCAACUUGUGUAUACCAAGGUGUUCGCCCUCUCACUUGCUGACGCCCUCAGUGCAGGAGAGAUCUCACUAAUCUUCAUGAACAUGCUCAUGUCGCCAAUGCAUUGCCUCCCCACCCGGUAAGCGUUGGAUGUUAACGUGGAGAGGGUGGACGAUGUGGAGGCACCCCAAUGUUCUUGGUUCUUCGAACUGAUUUGUGGUGAGAUCAUGAGAACACCAGAUGGCAUGCAUCAAUGAGGGCACACAUCGUUAAAUCUGAUAGCUGCAAACAAACAUCUUCUUAAUCUGAACCUUCUUUAGGCUUUUACAGUAGCAUAGUUCACGUGCUAAUAAAAUCGUUUGAAUAUGUUUCUUCUGAAGCCCAUCAGAUUUCGAAGUUGCAGAUUUCAGAUGUUCAAAGAUCAUGUCUCUUUAUGUAUCAGAUAUUUUGUAUGAUUGUAUCACAAGGUAGAGUGAUAACCACACACAAAGAAGGAAGUCUGAGUUUGCAGCUACUUUUUGUUGGUUAGGCUGCAUGGGUCCUAGAUGGUAAGCCUAGAGGUGGAAAGUCGAAGAUUUUGAUGGAAGGCGCAAAGAACGACGAUGCCGGUAGCGGGGCCAAGGAGAUUAGAUUCUGGCUGUCUAAAUAUACUGUCUCUGCAUGUGAUUCUACAUGGUUUAUGGUGCAAGUUCAUUGGUUUGAUUCUGAUACCCAGGUUUCAAGGGUCACUUCUGAUGUGUUUUUUUAUGUGUAGAAUUCCACUUUGAUUAUGUUUAUAUGGCUGGACCAUUUUUAAAAACUAGCCAUCACGAAUGACCAGUAGUAAAGUAGCAGUUGGUUGAAUAUGUUUGUGGGUUUUGAAUUGAGCAGAAAAGAAACACAUUUUGUAAUUCAAAUUAUAUUAUGUAAACAAAAGGAUGAGUGAAAGUUGUUCAUUAGAAUCAUAGGAAACUGAUUCCUUUUUUGGGGGGUUCGGUGUGUAUAGAGUUUCUUACCGAUUUGAAUCUGGAUGGCUGGACUCUCUACAGGACUGAUCUGUCUGAAUUCGUUUUUUCGUGUUGGAAGUUCCUAAGAGCUUCAACCAUUCAUUUUGUGUUGGGAUGAGGUAUAAGAUUUAGUACGGGAGGUCUGUUCCUUUCAACUGAAUUAAAAUUUUCGUUUCUACAAUAUCUACAGAGUUAUAGUUUUCUGCUUUGUUUUCUAGGCGAAUAAUUACAUGCAUUAAUGAAGUAGACUUAAUUAGGAGGAUUGACUCAAACUAGAAAAGUCGGCUGGUAUGUAUGAAUUUCAGUUGAUUGUAUUAAGCAUAUCAUCCCUAGCAACUCACAUCGCCACUAUUUCCAGGCUACCUUGCAACUUCUUAGAGAAGUAUAUUGCUUCUGGAACUAUUUGUUUAUGGUACUCAAAAUCUGGCUUAAAAUGCUCCCAAUGACAACUGAAUGGUUGUAGUGUGCUAAUACUCAUGCCCACACAUUCAGGUUUAUUCUCCAAUACCACAUUUUUUUGAACAGGCUUCCCAAUCCAUAGAGCAUGAUUUCAAGAAAAUGAAUUUGAACCAAGAACCAACUGUGGAUCUGAUGCAGGGUAAGCAUGAUUGGAUGGUAGGUAUCAUUUUAUUCUAAGUUUCCUUCUAAAUUCGGCAGAACAAUAGUUAUAUAUGCUUUGUUAGCUUUUGUAAAACAUAUGGCUCUUGGUACUUGGUACUUGAUACUACACUGCCGAUCGAUUCUCAUUUGUUCGAAGGAUGCUACAUGGAAUUAGGUGGAUGUCCCAGUUGUCAAUAUUGACAUAGGUGCGUACUGCUAUAUAGUCAUUUAGACAAUUUAUUCACCACGCAAUACUGACUUAAUUUAUUUGUUUAAAAUUGAACCUUUUAUGAAAUUUAUUGUAACAAUAUAUGUUUCUAGAUUGUUUGUCUUUUAUUGAGAGCUUUUAAUUCUGUUUGGAACUUUGGGAUUCUGUAGACCAGGUUUGCUAAAUACGAACUAUGAAUCGAUAUUUGGCAGCUCCUAUUUUUGAGUUCUCAUCUUCUUUAUACCUGCCUUUCUAGGAGGUAUUGUUGUGUGACGGUUUCAGAUACUGAAGCGGCGGUGGCGGCGAUACAGAAAAUAUGAGAAGAUACAUCAUUGGGCGAGCCCUUGCUUCAACCACCAUGGGUCUAUGCUGGCUGUCAUCUCAGGACCUAGAUACUCAAAAGGAAGGCAGCCGGAGAAUCAUGUUCCCUUCAUGCAUAUACCCAAGAAAUAGAGAAGCAACCUAUGAGGUACUAUCAACCUAUUUGUUGACCCAAAUGUCUAUACGUACCCUGUCAUGCUAGAAGUACUGUUGUGCACUAAAAUAACCUCAUUGUACAUUUUUGAGCUAUUUCUACUGCUUUGACAGAACAAACUUUAAUUACUUUUGUAGAUAUACCUAUUCUUCUGAUGGAUUGUGUUCCCAAAUAUGGAAAAUAAUCGUUCUUUUGAUUCCGUCAGAACUGGACAACAACAUGGCUCCUUUCCAGUUUUUCAGUCAAUAAUAAUAGUAUCAGUUCAACCGUUCACUUAUCCCGAUUCCUCUGAGUUGGCAUUAUUGCUUUUUAAACUAUCUAGAGAAGUUCCCCUUUAUAAUAACGUGUCUUCAUGCUAUCAUAUCAGCACUUCAGCAGUACAUAUACAUGAUUUCAGGUCUGAAAUUGUGUAAAUUGGGAGUAAAAUCCUCAUCCAUUCAUACUUAUAGUUUAGAUCAGUCCAUGCUACCAUUUUAAUAUUUCCGCUCUUAAAUUUUACUUGGUUAUCCCACGUGUAUGCUUUUAUCUUGCGAGUUUGUUCUGCAUUUAUUUUUUGGGACGAGCUGAAUGACCAUGGAACAAGGUAUUUCUAUUUCUUUUGUGUGUUGUUUAUUUGCAUCUACCAGUUGUUCAGUGCAUCUACCAGUUGUUCAGUGCAUCUACCAAUUGUUCAGUUUCUGAAGUGAAACUUAUGUUUCCAUGGAAAGGUUAUGUUCUAUAAAAAAUAUUUUCCCAUGACUCUCUUUACUGGCUUACUGACCGAAAAUGCUUGCUAACAAUAGUGAUGAAACAAGUUGUUUUAGGCUGAUGGUUCACUUCUGAUUUUUAGCUACUCUUUCUUUUCCACUGGAUAUUGGUGAAAAUAAUAAAUUAUAAGAGAUGCAUUCCCUUUGUUUUCUGCAUUGUGCCUGCGAUGUGUCACACAUGGUCUUAGUUACCCAUAUCUAUUUUCCUGGGUAAAAAUUGUGUGUUAAUAUCAUCGGUAUAAUUUUUCGUGAAAACAUAAAAAGCAUUGUAUUUCAACGCAUUCAUAGAAAAGAAGGUUUUUUACAAGCCAAAGAUGAGGGAAUAACUAAUUUUCUGCUAUUUAUUUGCAUGUAAAAACCAUUUGUUCUCCGUGAAGCCAUAUGUAUGACCUGCAGAACUGCAAAGUACCUAUAAGAGUUUAAUGAUUUUGUGUUUAACAUCGUCACCUAUAAGGAUGCCUGUGGAUUAUGUUCUUAUCCUUACAUAACACUAACAGUUGGGUUCCAGUUGUCUCCACACUUGCAUUCUCCCGCUUUAGUUAGCUAAUUUUGUUUUCCUUCUUUUCCUUUUGAUUUAUUAGCCUCGGUAAAGCUUCAGUUUUUGCUUGCUUCCAUUUGUUCUCGCGUGUGACAAAUUUAAAUUGGUUAUUGAGAAUAUACAAGAUUUUUGGUUCUUGCUGAUUGUUCGGUCUAACAACUGUUCUAUACACACAAAAAUUGUUGAAUACUACGUAGCUUACUGUGUGGAUAGAUUUCCCUUUACCUAAUAGUUAUCCACUCUGGUAAAACAUCAUGAUGUUUCUAAUAUACCUCGUGUAAAAUAGUGUGUUCUUGGCCAUUUUUUAUCUGUUGGUUAGGCAUCUUAUCAAGUUACAUUGGUUUUGUCUAUCUUAAAUACUAUAUGUUGUCACCUGAUUGUUAUGCACUCACUGGUCCUUAUUUGCUCCUUCGUUUGAUCAGUUAUAUAUCUGUUCCGUUGAAAGAAAUGCAGUAGGGGAACCCCCUACAGUUAUCUCCAGAACCUUGUCUGUCAGUAGUGAGGCAAUGGGGUUGAAGCUUCAUCGGAGUGCUUGCUACUUCUUUGCAUUGGUUGGUCGUGUUGUUUCCAGAGUUUUCGACUAACAUACGUUUUCCCAAACUGAACCAUCAGAUGAGAGUAAUAUGCGGUCCUGUGCCAAUUUGUCAAUUGAGGGUUAAUAAGGUGAUAGACUAACAGAACUAGAAUGGUCAGGGCAUAGAAAGAACCGAACUUUGCAGUAUAUGGCUUUCUAUCAUUGUUAUAAAAAUUUCAUAUUACAUAUGUCUACAAAUUUAAUAGCUUGAAUUUAAUUUAAAAUGGAUAAAAAGGUGGAAGAGGAGGUGUCAUUUAUAUGUGUGUUAAAGAAAGGAAAAUACUGCAAUCGAAAACUUCUUCUAUGCCUAACCUUUAAUCAUUUCCACCAUUAUCCCCUCUUGUCAUCUAGGUUAUGCUUGCAGAAAGUGAAACUUUUAUAUUAAGAAAAGAUGAUGUUUAUGUAUGCUCAAGAGUUUGUGUUGCCACAUCAUAUAUCUAUUGGUUUGGAGGUUCUCACAUACAUGUGUUUUUUCUUAUCUCGCCUCUCUUGACACAGUUCAUAUCACGCUUCACAGACAAAUAACUUACCGAGUAGCAUUUUGUAGUAUGAGCUGUGCUCUGGUCCAUCCGACACACAUAUUGCCGGUCUAGGUCCCCUUCCUCGAAUUACUUAAUUUUCCAUCAGAACAAGUAGUGCGAUGGCCUUGCUAUAUGUCAGCAUUUUUGUUUGCCUUUGCCUUUGCAUAGUAUAGAUUAUUUUUUAUAACACCCAUUUGUUUUCCUAGCUCUUCCUUCCAAAUUAUUAAAUCACUAUUGUUUUUUAUGUUCUCCUUUCAGGGUUAUACCUAGAAGAUGAAUGCAUUUAGACCCAAGAACCUACGUGAGGUGGGCAGUGAUGGUUCUAUCCAUGGAGGCAUGGAGCUUGAGAUCGUUGUUGUCCAGGAGGGAGCCGGGCUCACCCGGUUCUUUUUUUGGUCAACUGUGUCGUUCAGUUCGCGAUCUCCGUGCGAGGAAUUAGCCAUGCAAGUUGCGCACUUAUUGCAGGGUUUGUAUGGAUUCAUGUUCACGACUAAAACUACGAGGGAAUGCAAGCCUAUAGGAACCUUGCGCGGUGUGUUGUUGUUCUGGCGGUUUCUUAGUUUGGAUGAUUGUGUCUUGCAUUGGUUCUAUUGGCUCUGUAGAUCCUCUUAGUCGGCGUGCUAUCAGAUGAUAUGUUAUAUUUGCUAUAUGUCCUCUAUGCCAUGCCUUUUGAAGACCAUGCUGCGGCUUUUGGUGUUCACUUGUUUUUGUUGCUCUUGGCUGAAUGAACAACCAUUAGUUGGUAUAAUAUAUUUUUCUUA